CCUACGGGAGGCAGCAGUGAGGAAUAUUGGUCAAUGGACGAGAGUCUGAACCAGCCAAGUAGCGUGAAGGAUGACUGCCCUAUGGGUUGUAACCUUCUUUUAUAAAGGAAUAAAACGAGGCACGUGUGCCUUUUUGCAUGUACUUUAUGAAUAAGGAUCGGCUAACUCCGUGCCAGCAGCCGCGGUACUACGGAGGAUCCGAGCGUUAUCCGGAUUUAUUGGGUUUAAAGGGAGCGUAGAUGGGUUGUUAAGUCAGUUGUGAAAGUUUGCGGCUCAACCGUAAAAUUGCAAUUGAUACUGGCAGUCUUGAGUACAGUUGAGGUAGGCGGAAUUCGUGGUGUAGCGGUGAAAUGCUUAGAUAUCACGAAGAACCCCGAUUGCGAAGGCAGCUUACUAAACUGUGACUGACAUUGAGGCUCGAAAGUGUGGGUAUCAAACAGGAUUAGAUACCCGAGUAGUC
rnacentral:rRNA from 1 species